rnacentral:rRNA from 1 species
UGCGACGUCACACUGCCGAGAAAAGCUUCUAGCCAGAGACGGUGCACCCGUACCGCAAACCGACACAGGUAGUCGAGGAGAGUAUCCUCAGGUGAGCGAGAGAACUCUCGUUAAGGAACUCGGCAAAAUGGCCCCGUAACUUCGGGAGAAGGGGCGCUGGUCGCAAGAUCAGCCGCAGUGAAAAGGCCCAAGCAACUGUUUAUCAAAAACACAGGCAUCUGCAAAAUCGUAAGAUGAAGUAUAGGUGCUGACACCUGCCCGGUGCUGGAAGGUUAAGAGGAGAGCUUAGCGCAAGCGAAGGUUUGAAUUGAAGCCCCAGUAAACGGCGGCCGUAACUAUAACGGUCCUAAGGUAGCGAAAUUCCUUGUCGGGUAAGUUCCGACCUGCACGAAAGGUGUAAUGAUUUGGGCACUGUCUCAACGAGAGACUCGGUGAAAUUAUAAUACCCGUGAAGAUGCGGGUUACCCGCGACAGGACGGAAAGACCCCAUGGAGCUUUACUGCAGUUUAAUAUUGGGUAUCUGUCAAGCAUGUACAGGAUAGGUAGGAGCCGGAGAAGAUAGGACGCCAGUCUUAUCAGAGGCGCUGUUGGGAUACUACCCUUGCUUGACGGAUGCUCUAACUCAGG